rnacentral:rRNA from 1 species
AUACGGAGGGUGCAAGCGUUAUCCGGAUUUAUUGGGUUUAAAGGGUGCGUAGGCGGUUAUAUAAGUCAGCGGUGAAAUUUUUUCGGCUCAACCGGAAACAUGCCGUUGAUACUGUAUAGCUUGAAUAUGGUUGCUGUGAGUGGAAUGUGUAGUGUAGCGGUGAAAUGCUUAGAUAUUACACAGAAUAUCGAUUGCGAAGGCAACUCACAAAGCCAAUAUUGACGCUGAGGCACGAAAGUGUGGGGAUC